rnacentral:rRNA from 1 species
UACAGAGGGUGCAAGCGUUAAUCGGAAUUACUGGGCGUAAAGCGUGCGUAGACGGUUAUUUAAGUCGGGUGUGAAAGCCCCGGGCUCAACCUGGGAAUUGCAUUCGAGACUGAAUAGCUAGGGUACGGUAGAGGGAAGUGGAAUUUCCGGUGUAGCGGUGAAAUGCGUAGAUAUCGGAAGGAACAUCAGUGGCGAAGGCGGUUCUCUGGGCCUUACCUGACGCUGAGGAGCGAAAGCGUGGGGAGCGAACAGG